UAAGCCAUGCAAGUCAAGGGGGUGUUUACACCACCGGCAAAAUGCUCAGUAACACGUCGUUAAUCUGCCCUUUGGUCAGGGAUAACCUUGGGAAACUGAGGCUAAUACCUGAUAUUAGAUGAAUACUGGAAUGUGUCUUCUUUGAAAGAUUACGCCGAAGGAUGGGACGGCGCCGGAUUAGGUUGUUGGUGAGGUAAUGGCUCACCAAGCCGAAGAUCCGUACGGGCCUUGAGAGAGGUAGCCCGGAGAAGGACACUGAGAAACUGGUCCUAGCCCUACGGGGUGCAGCAGGCGCGAAACCUUUACAAUGCACGAAAGUGUGAUAAGGGAAUCCUAAGUGCUCAUGUUUUUCAUGGGCUUUUUUUUAAGGGUAAAUACCUUGAAGAAUAAGUGGUGGGUAAGACUGGUGCCAGCAGCCGCGGUAACACCAGCGCCACGAGCGGGAACCAGCAUUAUUUGGCCUAAAGCGUCCGUAGCUUGCUUAGUAAAUCUUUUGUGAAAUCGUUAAGCUUAACUUAACGGCGUGCAGAAGACACUGCUUGGCUUGAGACCGGGAGGGGUAUGGAGUAUUCUGGGGGGACCGGUAAAAUGGGAUAAUCCUUGGAAGACUACCUGUGGCGAAGGCGCCAUACCAGAACGGGUCUGACAGUGAGGGACGAAGGCUAGGGGAGCGAACCGGAUUAGAUACCCGAGUAGUCCUAGCAGUAAACGCUGCGGGUUAGGUGUUGCAUAAUCUACGUGAUUGUGCAGUGUCGAAGCGAAGGCAUUAAACCCGCCGCCUGGGAAGUAUGGUCGCAAGACUGAAACUUAAAGGAAUUGGCGGGGGAGCACCACAAGGGGUGCGGCGUGCGGUUUAAUCUAACUCAACACAGAGAAUCUCACCAGAUGCGACGGCAGAAUGAAGAUCAGUCUAAAGGGCUUAUCUGACGAGCCGAGAGGUGGUGCAUGGCCGCCGUCAGCUCGUGCCGUAAGGUGUCCUGUUAAGUCAGGCAACGAGCGAGACCUGUGCGUACAAUUGCCAGCGAACUAUGUGAUCGGGCACAAUGUACGGACUGCCUUGGAAACAAGGAGGAAGGUGCAGGCUACGGUAGGUCUGUAUGCCCCGAAUCUUCUGGGCUACGCGCGCGCAACAAUGGUAUGGACAAUGGGCUGCCACCCUGAAAAGGGAAGCUAAUCCUCGAAACCAUAUCUUAGUACAGAUUGAGGACUGUAACUCGUCCUCAUGACGCUGGAAUCCCUAGUAAUUGGAGUUCAUCAUACUCCAGUGAAUAUGUCCCUGCUCCUUGCACACACCGCCCGUCAAACCAACCGAGCCUAGCUUGGGUGAGUAUCAGCUUUUUGGCUAAUCCGAAUCUAAGUUAAGUGAGGUGGGUUAAGUCGUCACAAGGUA
rnacentral:rRNA from 1 species